rnacentral:lncRNA from 1 species
UUUCCGCGCCAGGAUUGCCUCGAUCUUGCCCGCCCAACAAGCAUAAAUUUCUUCCCGUGGAUUAGCUUCUUCGCGAGGGGCGGAGUUCGCCCUCGCCUUCGUGAUGGCGGAUACGAAGGCGGACGCAAAACCGGAAAAUACAGGCGGCAGCGGCUCGUUCAGCGAGCAGGCGUUUGUCGAGAAGCUCAACAAGCUCAACAACACAGCAACUAGGAUCCAGA